rnacentral:rRNA from 1 species
GUCUUUUUGAGAAUAAUUUAAAGUCUAAUCUGCCCACUGAUAAAUAUUAAAGGGCUGCAGUAUAAUGACUGUACAAAGGUAGCAUAAUCAAUAGUUUUUUAAUUGGAAACUUGUAUGAAAGAUUUGAUGAAAUAUAAACUGUCUCUUAUUUAUUUUUAGAAAUUUAUUUUUUAGUUAAAAAGCUAAAGUAAUUUUAAAAGACGAGAAGACCCUAUAGAGUUUUAUAAUUAAUUUUAUUUUAAAAUUAUAUUAAAGUUUUUAUUAAAAUAAAAUUAAUUAUUGUAUUGGGGUGAUAGAAAAAUUAAAAAAACUUUUUUUAAAAAUUAAACAUAAAUAAAUGAAUAAAUGAUCCAUUAAUAAUGAUUAUAAGAAAAAAUUACCUUAGGGAUAACAGCGUAAUAUUUUUUUUUAGUUCAUAUAAAAAAAAAAGAUUGCGACCUCGAUGUUGGAUUAAGAUAAAAUUUAAAUGCAAAAGUUUAAAAUUUUGAUCUGUUCGAUCAUUAAAAUCUU